rnacentral:rRNA from 1 species
AUUGAACGCUGGCGGCAUGCUUUACACAUGCAAGUCGAACGGUAACAGGCCUUCGGGCGCUGACGAGUGGCGAACGGGUGAGUAAUGCAUCGGAACGUGCCCAGUCGUGGGGGAUAACUAUCCGAAAGGAUAGCUAAUACCGCAUACGAUCUGCGGAUGAAAGCGGGGGACCUUCGGGCCUCGCGCGAUUGGAGCGGCCGAUGUCAGCUUAGGUAGUUGGUGGGGUAAAGGCUCACCAAGCCAACGAUCUGUAGCUGGUCUGAGAGGACGACCAGCCACACUGGGACUGGGACACGGCCCAGACUCCUACGGGAGGCAGCAGUGGGGAAUUUUGGACAAUGGGCGCAAGCCUGAUCCAGCAAUGCCGCGUGCAGGAAGAAGGCCUUCGGGUUGUAAACUGCUUUUGUACGGAACGAAACGGCUCUGGUUAAUACCCGGGGCUAAUGACGGUACCGUAAGAAUAAGCACCGGCUAACUACGUGCCAGCCGCCGCCGUAAUAC